rnacentral:rRNA from 1 species
UACGUAGGGUGCGAGCGUUAGUCGGAAUUACUGGGCGUAAAGCGUGCGCAGGCGGUUUUGUAAGCCAGAUGUGAAAUCCCCGGGCUUAACCUGGGAAUGGCAUUUGGGACUGCAAGGCUUGAGUGCGGCAGAGGAGACUGGAAUUCCUGGUGUAGCAGUGAAAUGCGUAGAUAUCAGGAGGAACACCGAUGGCGAAGGCAGGUCUCUGGGCUGACACUGACGCUCAUGCACGAAAGCGUGGGGAGCAAACGGG